CUCUCGCUGACACCGCUGACCCGCCUUCGUCCUUAACCAUCAGCCGGACUCCCAUCCGUGCACGAAGCUGCAGCGAGCCCGAUCCAAAUCCCGCGAGAUUCGCCCGAUCCCGAAUCCCUCGCUCCAACCCGCGGGCACCAAGAGACUCCUCUCAACCCCCUUGACCGAUUCCCACAAUCACCGCUUGAGGCCCGCCCCGAUUUCGUGCUCGCUGGCCUCGAGAAGAUCCGCCGAAGAGCCAAAACUCCGGCGAGUGAAUCGGUCAUCUCCGCGCCGAACCGAGCUCCUAGAAGAAGCCCCGAAGGCCACAGGCACCAAUCGCUGCCCCUGUUCAUCCGCUCCCGCCGUCGAUGCAGGACGCACCGGGGAACUCCGACGACUCCCCUGAUUCUUUCGUGCCACGCCCAACCUCCCCGUGCACUUCCCUAAGUCAAAGAACCACCGGAGACGCCUUCUCGUCGACGCCUGAGACCACCGCCGUUCAAAUCCGGCGAACCUCCGGUGAGGAAAUUUCCCCUCUGCCCAAAUCCUAUGACGUGGCAUCAUCUCAGCCACCCGUGCUCACUUAAAUCCGAUGGUCUAUGUUAUUUCCUCAACUAAUCGGUAACGACGAAUGUCCUACUGCCACGUGUCCACAAAUUUUGUUUUAAUCUUUUUCGGCUGAGGCUAGUUGUAAUGGGAGUAUCAUAGGUAGUAUCAUGCAUGCCAACUAGGCAAAUUUGAUGAGGAGACAUAGAAUUAAAUGAAGAAAGAGAGGAUUGAGUAUCAUAUCAUGAUACCGUAUCAUAUUAAAUGUUGUGCUACUAUGUGUCAUGCAUGCUAAUAAAUGAAGUCAUCUAUGAUACUUACA